AUUGAACGCUGGCGGAAUGCUUUACACAUGCAAGUCGAACGGCAGCACGGGUGCUUGCACCUGGUGGCGAGUGGCGAACGGGUGAGUAAUACAUCGGAACGUACCCAGUCGUGGGGGAUGACGUAGCGAAAGUUACGCUAAUACCGCAUACGUCCUGAGGGAGAAAGCGGGGGACCGUAAGGCCUCGCGCGAGUGGAGCGGCCGAUGGCGGAUUAGCUAGUUGGUGGGGUAAAGGCCUACUAAGGCGACGAUCCGUAGCGGGUCUGAGAGGACGGCCCGCCACACUGGAACUGAGACGCGGUCCAGACUCCUACGGGAGGCAGCAGUGGGGAAUAUUGGACAAUGGGCGAAAGCCUGAUCCAGCCAUUCCGCGUGAGUGAAGAAGGCCUUCGGGUUGUAAAGCUCUUUCGGCAGGGAAGAAACGGCUUGGGAUAAUACCCCGGGCUAAUGACGGUACCUGAAGAAGAAGCACCGGCUAACUACGUGCCAGCCGCCGCAGUAA
rnacentral:rRNA from 1 species